rnacentral:rRNA from 1 species
CCGCACAAGCGGUGGAGCAUGUUGGUUUAAUUCGAAGCAACGCGAAGAACCUUUACCAGGUCUUGACAUCCCGAUGCUUAUUUCUAGAGAUAGAAAGUUACUUGGUACAUCGGUGACAGGUGGUGCAUGGUUGUCGUCAGCUCGUGUCGUGAGAUGUUGGGUUAAGUCCCGCAACGAGCGCAACCCCUAUUGUUAGUUGCCAUCAUUCAGUUGGGCACUCUAGCGAGACUGCCGGUAAUAAACCGGAGGAAGUGGGGAUGACGUCAAAUCAUCAUGCCCCUUAUGACCUGGGCUACACACGUGCUACAAUGGUUGGUACAACGAGUUGCGAGUCGGUGACGGCGAGCUAAUCUCUUAAAGCCAAUCUCAGUUCGGAUUGUAGGCUGCAACUCGCCUACAUGAAGUCGGAAUCGCUAGUAAUCGCGGAUCAGCACGCCGCGGUGAAUACGUUCCCGGGCCUU